AUUAUUUAAUUAGAUGUGAGAUAAAGUUUUAGUUUUCAGUAUUUAUGAAAUUUUUGAUUUUAGCUUGAUUUACUUUACUUUUAGUAACUUAAACUGACGAUGUCAUUUAAACUGAUGAUGUCGUGACUUCUUUGUUAAAUGUGAAACAUCAGAUAUUUAGAAGUUUAACGUGGUAUUAUAAGAAACAGUUGACAGAAAAAUAGAAAUGGCUGAUAACCAAUAGUAGUUAAAAGAUGCAAACAACAAUAUGUUAAUGUAAUGGAACAAAGUGCUACACAAACUUUAAAUAAGAAUUAAAAAAAAACUUAAUUGCUUCCAAAAACAAAUUACAAAAUUACACGACAGAAAAGAAAAAUAUUGAGAUUUAAUCAUAUUGGGUACAUUCCAUGAUUACCAAUUGGCAAUAAAGGUAUUUACUCACAUACAAUAUGGGUUGCAAGUCGCCAGUUAGAUUAAACUAAACUAUGAAACUGAAAAAAAGAUUCCAGGAAAAUUGAACGUUACUUUCUCAAAUGGGCUGUCUGUGUGUGAUAUAUCAAACAGACUUUUAAUUAAAAGUCAAGUUUAAAUUUAAAAAAUGUAGAUUUCUGUUUUUCAAUUCUUUCUUGUCUUCUGGUUUCAAGAACUUUCUUUAAUUACUCAUAUUCAGUUACCAAAGAAAGAAUCAGAUCCACACAGCUCUUUGUGCAAAACCUAGUUGGAAUACAAACAGUGAACAAAAAGUUUUCAAUAAUAUGGUCAAUAAGAUGAUUUACAAUCAACCUUUGGGUCUUUUUUUGGAUGUUUUCAAAAAGAUAUUUUUCCGGUAUAAAUCUAUUCAACGGUAGUUUUUCUCCUUUAAAGUUAUCUAAAAAAGACCAACAGUUCAACGAUUUAAACGAGAAGAAUGUCCGCUUCUUUUAGCAGCAAUAUUCUUGUUUAUAGCAAUAACUGGAAUAUAUAUUGGAUCCAAUGAAUAUAAAUUGGAUCCAAUGAAGUUUUUUCCUAAUCUUAACUAUUAGCGUAUUUUUAUAACAAAUGUAUUAUUGGUUUAAA